UGGAGGAGGCCGGAUCCUGGGCUCCUGUGCUCCCUGUGCUCCGGGGCCUGCGCUGUUGGAUUCUGCUCCCGCCCCGCAACCCCCU
rnacentral:pre_miRNA from 1 species